rnacentral:rRNA from 1 species
UACGGAAGGCAGCAGGGGGAAUAUUGCACAAUGGGCGCAAGCCUGAUGCAGCCAUGCCGCGUGUAUGAAAAAGGCCUUCGGGUUGUAAAGUACUUUCAGUCGUGAGGAAGGUGUUAAGGUUAAUAACCUUAGCAAUUGACGUUAGCGACAGAAGAAGCACCGGCUAACUCCGUGCCAGCAGCCGCGGUAAUACGGAGGGUGCGAGCGUUAAUCGGAAUUACUGGGCGUAAAGGGCACGCAGGCGGUUAAUUAAGUUGGAUGUGAAAUCCCCGGGCUUAACCUGGGAAUGGCAUUCAAGACUGGUUAGCUAGAGUCUUGUAGAGGGGGUAGAAUUCCAUGUGUAGCGGUGAAAUGCGUAGAGAUGUGGAGGAAUACCGGUGGCGAAGGCGGCCCCUGGACAAAGACUGACGCUCAUGUGCGAAAGCGUGGGGAGCGAAA